AUGAGCGAAUUACGCAAGCUAAUUCUCCAGAGAGCCUCCAAAUCAAGAUCAAACUCGAACUCAUCCUUGCUGUUUGGUUCUCCAGAGAGCCGGGUGCCGCUUUUCAAUUACCAGGCAGUCUCAUUGUCAUCUGGCGUUGCAGCAUUGAGCGCUCCCGGACUGCAGCUUCCUCCAGAGGCAGAUCAUGUGCUGCGGCGACUGGUAGUGCGCGGUGUAGUAGCCGUCGAAGCAGCCGGCCUGGAAGAACUUGACGUCGUGCGAAUACUCCACUGGCUGGCGAGUCUUGCUGAACUUCUGAACCCACAUGCCCAUGCUCACGUCUUCCAUCUUGAACAGCUGCAACAAUCAGGGGAAGCACAGCAGUUUGUUAGCCUUUAG
rnacentral:rRNA from 1 species